rnacentral:rRNA from 1 species
AGUGAACGCUGGCGGUAGGCCUAACACAUGCAAGUCGAACGGCAGCACAGUAAGAGCUUGCUCUUACGGGUGGCGAGUGGCGGACGGGUGAGGAAUACAUCGGAAUCUACUUUUUCGUGGGGGAUAACGUAGGGAAACUUACGCUAAUACCGCAUACGACCUACGGGUGAAAGCAGGGGAUCUUCGGACCUUGCGCGAUUGAAUGAGCCGAUGUCGGAUUAGCUAGUUGGCGGGGUAAAGGCCCACCAAGUCGACGAUCCGUAGCUGGUCUGAGAGGAUGAUCAGCCACACUGGAACUGAGACACGGUCCAGACUCCUACGGGAGGCAGCAGUGGGGAAUAUUGGACAAUGGGCGCAAGCCUGAUCCAGCCAUACCGCGUGGGUGAAGAAGGCCUUCGGGUCGUAAAGCCCUUUUGUUGGGAAAGAAAAGCAGCAGGUUAAUACCCCGCUGUUCUGACGGUACCCAAAGAAUAAGCACCGGCUAACUUCGUG